ACCCAUAUGUCUAUGGGACUACCUAUCUGGGUUCGAUGUGUUAGGCUAUCAACACUCUUCCCUCGUUCACUUCCUGAAUUUCUAGCUAGCAAAAUGGUUCCUCCCGUUGCAGUGUCGCCUGUCAUCAAGACGGCCAGGUGGUCAUUCCUGCUCCUUGGCGUCUUAUAUGGAAAACAAAGAUAUGACUAUCUAAAGCCAAGAGCUGAGGAAGAGCGGCGGGUUGAGGAAGCAGAAAAAAAGAUUCGAGAGGAGCAAGAGAAAAUCGCUAAAGCGCUUGCAGAAGCCUCUGAAGAAAGCAUCCUUAAAUGAACUGCCUCUGAAUCUGCUCUGACAUGUUUGAAUAAUUAUAAAUGAAUACAAACAAUUCAA